UUUCGCAAUGCCCGAAAGGGUGACGAAGCGACGCCGCGUGGGUGAGGAAGGCCUUCGGGUUGUAAGGCCCUGUCAGGAGUUAAGAAAUGUAAGUGCGCUAAUAUCGCAUUUAUUUGACGAAGGCUCCAAAGGAAGUCACGGCUAACUCUGUGCCAGCAGCCGCGGUAAUACAGAGGUGGCAAGCGUUGUUCGGAAUUAUUGGGCGUAAAGAGCACGUAGGUGGGUUUGUAAGUCAGAUGUGAAAGCCUUCUGUUCAACGGAAGAAUUGCAUCUGAAACUGCGAGUCUUGAGUGUAGGAGGGGAGAAUGGAACUUCUGGUGGAGCGGUGAAAUGCGUAGAUAUCAGAAGGAACGCCGGCGGCGAAAGCGAUUCUCUGGCCUAUUACUGACACUCAGUGUGCGGAAGCUAGGGGAGCAAACGGGAUUAGAUACCCCGGUAGUCCUAGCCGUAAACGAUGGGCACUAAGUAGAGGGGUUUUA
rnacentral:rRNA from 1 species